rnacentral:rRNA from 1 species
AUUGAACGCUGGCGGGAGGCCUAACACAUGCAAGUCGAACGAGUGGCGGACGGGUGAGUAAUGUCUGGGAAACUGCCUGAUGGCGGGGGAUAACUACUGGAAACGGUAGCUAAUACCGCAUACCAUCGGAUGUGCCCAGAUGGGAUUAGCUAGUAGGUGGGGUAAAGGCUCACCAAGGCGACGAUCCCUAGCUGGUAUGAGAGGCGGACCAGCCACACUGGGACUGAGACACGGUCCAGACUCCUACGGGAGGCAGCAGUGGGGAAUAUUGGACAAUGGGCGCAAGCCUGAUGCAGCCAUGCCGAGUGUAUGAAGAAGGCCUUCGGGUUGUAAAGUACUUUCAGCGGAGAAGCGGUACCCGCAGAAGAAGCACCGGCUAACUCCGUGCCAGCAGCCGCGGUAAUUC